AACCAGAUGAUGAAUGUACCUGUUCAACUGCUGGGUGACACAGACAUGAACUAAAGCGUCAUUCUGAUAGAG